UACGGAGGGUGCAAGCGUUGCUCGGAAUUAUUGGGCGUAAAGGGUAGGUAGGUGGUCUCAUUUGUCUGGGGUGAAAGCCUUGAGCUUAACUCAAGAAGUGCCCCAGAAACGGUGAGACUCGAGUCCUGGAGAGGGUCGUGGAAUUCCCGGUGUAGCGGUGAAAUGCGUAGAGAUCGGGAGGAACACCAGAGGCGAAGGCGGCGACCUGGAGAGUGACUGACACUCAACUGCGAAAGCGUGGGGAGCAAACAGG
rnacentral:rRNA from 1 species